rnacentral:rRNA from 1 species
UACGGGGGGGGCAAGCGUUGUUCGGAAUUACUGGGCGUAAAGGGCUCGUAGGCGGCCAACUAAGUCAUACGUGAAUCCCUCGGCUUAACCGGGGAACUGCGUCUGAUACUGGAUGGCUUGAGUUCGGAGAGGGAUGGCGGAAUUCCUGGUGUAGCGGUGGAAUGCGCAGGAUAUCAGGAGGAACACCAAUGGCGAAGGCAGAUCUCUGGGCCGUAACUGACGCUGAGGAGCGAAAGCAUGGAGAGCGAACAGG